GGUGGUAUAGUAUAGUGGUUAGUACAGCUCGUUGUGGUAGCAGACACAGGUCCGAUUCCUGUUACCGCCA
rnacentral:tRNA from 1 species